rnacentral:rRNA from 1 species
GUCAUAUGCUUGUCUCAAAGAUUAAGCCAUGCAUGUCUCAGUACAAGCCAAAUUAAGGUGAAACCGCGAAAGGCUCAUUAAAUCAGUUAUGGUUCCUUAGAUCGUACCCACAAUUACUUGGAUAACUGUGGUAAUUCUAGAGCUAAUACAUGCAAACAGAGCUCCGACCGGAGACGGAAGGAGUGCUUUUAUUAGAUCAAAACCAAUCGGUGGCGAGUUCGCUCGUUAUCGUACAACUUGGUGACUCUGAAUAACUUUACGCUGAUCGCACGGUCAUCGCACCGGCGACGCAUCUUUCAAAUGUCUGCCUUAUCAACUGUCGAUGGUAGGUUCUGCGCCUACCAUGGUUGUAACGGGUAACGGGGAAUCAGGGUUCGAUUCCGGAGAGGGAGCCUGAGAAACGGCUACCACAUCCAAGGAAGGCAGCAGGCGCGCAAAUUACCCACUCCCGGCACGGGGAGGUAGUGACGAAAAAUAACGAUACGGGACUCAUCCGAGGCCCCGUAAUCGGAAUGAGUACACUCUAAACCCUUUAACGAGGAUCAAUUGGAGGGCAAGUCUGGUGCCAGCAGCCGCGGUAAUUCCAGCUCCAAUAGCGUAUAUUAAAGUUGUUGCGGUUAAAAAGCUCGUAGUCGAAUUUGUGUCUCGCGCCGCCGGUUCAUCGUCCGCGGUGUUAACUGGCGAGUCGCGAGACGUCCUGCCGGUGGGCUUAGCUCGCGAGGGCGGCCCAACUCAAUCCUGCCGCGGUGCUCUUCAUUGAGUGUCGAGGUGGGCCGGCACGUUUACUUUGAACAAAUUAGAGUGCUUAAAGCAGGCUAAAACUUCGCCUGAAUACUGUGUGCAUGGAAUAAUGGAAUAGGACCUCGGUUCUAUUUUGUUGGUUUUCGGAACCCCGAGGUAAUGAUUAAUAGGAACGGAUGGGGGCAUUCGUAUUGCGACGUUAGAGG